AUUGAACGCUGGCGGCAGGCCUAACACAUGCAAGUCGAGCGGAUGAAGGGAGCUUGCUCCUGGAUUCAGUGGCGGACGGGUGAGUAAUGCCUAGGAAUCUGCCUGGCAGUGGGGGAUAACGUCCGGAAAUGGGCGCUAAUACCGCAUACGUCCUGAGGGAGAAAGUGGGGGAUCUUCGGACCUCACGCUAUCAGAUGAGCCUAGGUCGGAUUAGCUAGUUGGUGGGGUAAAGGCCUACCAAGGCGACGAUCCGUAACUGGUCUGAGAGGAUGAUCAGUCACACUGGAACUGAGACACGGUCCAGACUCCUACGGGAGGCAGCAGUGGGGAAUAUUGGACAAUGGGCGAAAGCCUGAUCCAGCCAUGCCGCGUGUGUGAAGAAGGUCUUCGGAUUGUAAAGCACUUUAAGUUGGGAGGAAGAGCAGUAAGUUAAUACCUUGCUGUUUUGACGUUACCAACAGAAUAAGCACCGGCUAACUUCGUG
rnacentral:rRNA from 1 species